GUUGGCUCUCUUCAUUUUCGUGGUCUGCGGAUCAGCCAUCUUCCAGAUCAUCCAGAGCAUCCGGAUGGGCAUGUGAGGGGCCGGGGUGGGCCAUGCCCGCCGGCCCCGGCCGCCGCGGCUGCUGCCGAGGAGCGGCACCGGCCGUGUCGCAUUCCAGGUCCCUUCACGAGUCAUUCCGAGUUUUCUAGCCCGUGCCACAGUGCCUUGAACAGCACCACAUGUAUAAAGCAAUAAAAGUCUGUUGUUGAUCUACAAUCGUGGACCUACUUAUUCGCUGAAGAUCCGGCCUGCUCUCUGUAAUACGUGGGUCCGUAGGAACUGGCAUCUCUUGUAAACACCGGUCCCCGCUCAGCGUCUCCCUCGCUGUAUAGCUGGAAAUGGCUGCAUUUGACGCUGGAAGCCAGGAUUCCUGUAGAGGCUGGAGCCCGACUGUGCAGCAUGUUCCCGAGGGCCCCGGGCCCGCCGUGCAUCCUCGGUGCGUGCGCGGGCGGCCGCUGCAGCAUGUGGCAGCGCCCGCGCCGCCUCUGGCUCUGUCCUGAUCCACGCAAAACGCUUGUCUGUGUCGGGGGGCGUGCGGAGCUGGCAGCAGCUGCUCCGGCGGGAGCCGUGCUGGAGCUCCCUGGACUGCGGGAGCGCCGCGGCCAGACCUGCGGCUCCCGAGCCUCUCCCGGCCGUGCCCGCGCUGUAAAUACUUCUUGGACGACUUUCAACGAGUGGUGAUUAGUUUUAAAUUUGACAAUGUUGUGUGGGAAUAUUGGGUGUGGGGGGGGGACACGCUGCCUCCCUGCCCACAGUUCUGCUUCUGUAUGUGCAGCCCCUGCAGAGUGUGGUGUGUCUUGCAAUAUAUAUUUAAUCCUAUUUAAAGUAAAACCUGCCUUCAACUCGAUUUCUUUUAACAAUGGAUUCAGUACUUAACUGCUUCCCUACUGGUGAUCACAGUUCCUUCUUCUGUAGACGACUGUAACUUGAGAUCACGUGGAAAAUGCUGCUAUUGAUCAUAUUUCCCUGCUGAUGGCCCUGACUCCUGGCUCUGCUGUCUGCGUGCUGACAAAGGUGGUGGGAAUUGCUCUGCUGGUGCACACAGUUGCUAAAGGAAGAUUUCUUUUCUCCGGGUUUCUUAGAAGACAAAUUUUAAGUCUGGUUACAUUAGAAAUAAAACAAAAUGAAAUGGGUUGAGGUUAAUGAAUUGCCUGUUAGCUGUGAAGGAGCAGAUCUUCUGUACAUGUUGUAUUUCCAUAUGGAAUCCCUGGGACUGGUGUGAGCUGGGGCUGCCCAGGGCACGGGGACCUUGUGCUGGGACACUGUGCUGUGGCAGGGGAAGUCUGUAUCAUCGCUGAUUUUAAAUAAAGUUCUUUUCAAA